AGAACGAACGCUGGCGGCAUGCCUAACACAUGCAAGUCGAACGAGACCUUCGGGUCUAGUGGCGCACGGGUGCGUAACGCGUGGGAAUCUGCCCUUAGGUUCGGAAUAACAGUUAGAAAUGACUGCUAAUACCGGAUAAUGUCUUCGGACCAAAGAUUUAUUGCCUAAGGAUGAGCCCGCGUAAGAUUAGCUUGUUGGUGAGGUAAGGCUCACCAAGGCGACGAUCUUAGCUGGUCUGGAGGGGAUGAUCAGCCACACGUGGGACUGAGACACGGCCAGCUCCUACGGGAGGCAGCAGGUGGGGAAUAUUGGACAAGUGGGACGAAAGCCU
rnacentral:rRNA from 1 species